rnacentral:rRNA from 1 species
GGGAAGAAGGCCUUCGGGUUGUAAACCACUGUCGGGAGUUAGGAAAUGCAGGUGCGUUAAUAGCGCACUUGCUUGACUAAGGCUCCCUAGCAAGCCACGGCUAACUCUGUGCCAGCAGCCGCGGUAAUACAGAGGCGGCAAGCGUUGUUCGGAAUUAUUGGGCGUAAAGAGCACGUAUGCGGCCUUGCAAGUCAGUUGUGAAAGC